UUCACAUCACUAGUGCUUAUAGAAAUUCGGUUAGGUAUUUGAUGUGAGAUGUCUCGUCGUCUCAUUUAUUCUUUACCUACUGAAUAGGUACCUGCUCAAAACUCUUUGGUCCGUCACUCUCUGUGGUUUUUAUUUAACUUGUUUAUGUGCAGCUGCGAAGUUUAACAAUAAAAAAGAACUUAUGAGUUUUCUUGAAAUUUCCUCUGUAAUUACUAUUGAUUAGUGUAAAAGUAAAGCAAACGUAAACUAUGUGUACAAUUGUUUCGUACGAUAAUUUAAUUUGUGUAUUCUAUAGCAUGUAUGGCUAAUGGCACUCGAGGAAUGUCGGAAUAAGCCCUCGAUUUGGUAUUCAGUUUGUGUUCAUGUGUACCUACAUAGAACUACGACUUCAAGUGUUCGGUUAGCAGUGUGUUAAUAUUGUUCUCAGUUUGUACAAAUUGCGUACGCAUCCAAUUGAUGUUUUUACGGUGUGUUGUAAAAGAAAGUGUUGUGAAUAAUGUUUUCUAAAAAAAAGAAAAAGCCAUUAAUUUCGCCGCCCAGUAACUUCGAACACAGAGUACAUACAGGUUUCGAUAAACGAGAGGGAAAGUUUGUUGGACUUCCUUUGCAAUGGGCAUCUCUUGUUGGCAAUAACCAGAUAUUAAAGUCAACAAACAGACCACUACCUCUGGUCGACCCCUCAGAAAUCACACCCACCGAAAUUCUAGACUUGAAAACGAUUGUAAGAGGGGAACAUCGUACCACAUCCGUUUCUUCAAUAGCACGUCCAAUAUCUUCAAGUGUGCCUCAGCAACAACAACCAGUGCAAAAUGGGGUUGUGUUACCAAAAACAUCAAAUGUUGCUAGAUCUAAUUCUUUAAGAAGUACAAGCCCACCCAGGAUAAGGAGAGAUUUCCGUAACCAGCCAAAUGUCCCACCAGCUGUGCCAGAGGAGUCACCACCAGUGCCCCCAGCUCCACAGCAAUAUCCUAGUUUGAGGAGAGAGCAGAGUAAUUUUGCUUUGAACAAGCCUAUUCCAGAGUCCCCAGUGGACUGGUCGCAACAAAGUCAUGAAGCAACAGUGAGACCCAUUGGAGAAAUCAAUGAUAACCAUCAUGCUACAAUGAGUUUCCAGAAUAUUCAAAAUGCUAAUGUACCAUAUCAACACAAUCAUCCCCCACCUGCAGUCACUCAUACAGUGCCCCAUGGACUGAAUGGAAACAAUAUGAAUAUUGGUGAUGGGUAUCCCGUUAGACACCAGCAUCCUACGCCUGCGGCCGCGGCACCGCACCUGCCUCUUGCCGCAUCCAAGCAUGAACUGCGAUUGACGCACGAACAGUUCCGGGCGGCGCUGCGGCUGGUGGUGAGCGAAGGGGACCCUCGGGCGACGCUGAGCGGGUUCACGAAGAUCGGCGAGGGCAGCACCGGCGUGGUGUGCGCCGCCACCGACACGCGCACGCGCCGCCGCCUCGCCGUUAAGAUGAUGAACCUGCGCAAGCAGCAGCGCCGCGAGCUGCUCUUCAACGAAGUGGUGAUCAUGCGCGAUUACCCACAUCCGAACAUCGUGGAAAUGCACGCGUCGUAUCUAGUGGGUGACGAGCUGUGGGUAGUGAUGGAGUACAUGGCCGGGGGAGCGCUGACCGAUAUCGUCACUCGAGCCCGGAUGGAUGCUGAACAAAUUGCUACAGUUUGCAAACAGUGUUUGAAGGCGCUGGCAUUCCUGCACAGUCAAGGUGUUAUUCACAGAGAUAUCAAAUCAGAUUCCAUUCUGAUGACGGCGGAUGGUCGCGUCAAAUUAUCCGACUUCGGUUUCUGUGCUCAAGUUUCACAGGAACUGCCGAAGCGAAAGUCCCUUGUCGGAACACCAUACUGGAUGUCGCCCGAGGUGAUAUCGAGACUGCCAUACGGGCCUGAGGUGGACGUGUGGUCACUCGGUAUUAUGAUCGUCGAGAUGGUCGACGGAGAACCGCCCUUCUUCAACGAGCCGCCGUUGCAGGCGAUGCGUCGCAUCCGCGACAUGCCGCCGCCGCGGCCGCGCGGGGCGGCGCGCUGCCCGGCGGACCUGUCCGCGUUCAUCGAGUGUGCGCUGGUGCGCGACCCGGCGGCGCGGCACUCGGCGCAGCGCCUGCUGCAGCACGCCUUCCUGCGCCGCGCCGGGCCGCCCGCGCUGCUCGUGCCGCUCAUGCCGCCGCAGCCGCAGCCACAGCCGCAGCCGCACCACCCACUGCAGCCGCAUCCACCGCACCCACAACCGCGUUAAACACUAUCACAUACCUAGUGACGGCAGAUCUAUGAAAAGCCUUCUUACCCGAUUGUCAAAGAGGGUAAUGUUUUCUUUUUAUAUCCCUUGCAAGCUCGAGGCCCGGACGUUUGCCCAGUAUACCAACUACUAAGGCCGCCAUUGCCCUUACAUAUCUAUCAUAUCCAAUUUCAUGAAGAUUACGUAAAAUGGCUCUUGUACGAACUUACACUGUCACAGGAAAUAAAGCUCACGGUGCGGCAGACUUUUCCUUAUGCCCAGCAACCUCUUAUGGGAAACGAUCAUACGCAAUUCCUGAGAAGGCUGAGCAUUUUCAGUGAGCGAAAUUACUCCCCUAAUUAGGACGCGGCUUAAUAAUAUGCACUAAGCAAAACAUUUUAAUAGACUGACACUUUUGUAAUUCCAAUUUGAAAUGUGAUUUCGCCAUGAAAUAUUCAAAUGUUUAACUAAUAAUUUAUAACACUCGCUAUAAGAAUUUCAUGAGUAUCGCACUCAUAGCCAGAUCGCUUAUUGUUGAAAAGUAAUGAAUAAUUCUUAUUUUUUUAUCUAAUACCUAAGCGAUGAAUAUCAGUAUGCUACUUGAUAUUAAAAAUAUUUUUUUGAUUAAUAAAACCUUGUGACGAAACUUUUUGCGAUAAAAUGAUGAAUGCUUGAAAUGCCCAGGCGCGUAUGAUCAGCUUGAUAUUACGUGGUAAUGACAAAUAUCAUGACAUACCAAAGUUGUAUCCAAGCAACUUCUUUAUAACUAUAUCUUUUUAUUCAUAGAAAGUAAACUAAUAUUAACAUAACUGUUAACAUAGUCCAGUGAACUGAUAUUUUAGCUUUUUAUACUAUGAAUUGGCUGUAAAUAUUAUCACAGUUUAACAAUCAUGCAGUGGAUUGGAGCAUGGUUUUUUUUAUUUGCGUCGUGUACAAUUCAGUGCAUAUUCAAAUGUAUAUAUAUGAAGAAUGAAAAGUACAAUUAUUUGUAUUGUACCUGCAUUGCAAAAUGUAUUUAAUCAUAAAACAGAAAAAACGCCUUUUUUAUGAAUCUUACCACUAGGUAGGUGAUGUGGCAAUUGCUGGUUACAAUAGGAUUUUAAUAUCAAUUUUUAAGAAACAUAACAAACAGAAUUAGGAUUAAUUUUGUUUUCUUCACGGAAUUUAUCUUAAGGUAAUCAGCACACGAUAGUUUCGGCUAGUAUGUUUUAACACGCUCACGUGAAUUAUCUCUUGAUCCCACCUACUAACCCCUGUUUUUAAUAAACGUUCCCAGUCCGUCACAAUGUACCAAUCAGAACAGAGUUUUUUUAACAUUCUUACCAUUGACUUAUUUAUUUGAUAUAAAAUUAAGUUGAGGAUCGUGUAUUGAAAAUGGCCGUAAGUGUGUUGAUAAGACGGGGCUGGCAAUGUUCCACUUCGUGCAUUCGCUCUGCACUACUGCAUUAGUUUCAAAACUGUAUGAUUGAUAACCUGCGAUUUUACAUUGACCAAUAUUACUUGUCUAAGUUGAAUCUAAAAAUUUGUUAAACCGAAAUAAUCGAAGCACUGAUAUUAUUUGCUGUGUUCGCUAUUCGACACGCAGUAUUGAUCACAUUCCUUUAUUUAAUUUUUCCAAAUUAUAUAUCUUUUACGUUUUCUAUUUAUUGUUAAAGGUGUUUCUCUUAUUGCCAUAAAAUUGUUGAAUAUGAACAUUGUUGUAGGAUAAUACAGUAAUUAAACUGUAGAUUACUUCGGAUAAAUUAUGUAGGAUAUUAUCUUCUCUUCCCCGUCCAUUUAGUACAAUGUUAUUUAUAUUAUGAAAUAAUGAAUUAAAAAUUGCAGUAUCACAGUGGCUAUAAAAAUAUGGCUAUGUGUAAAUUGUGUGAUGAACAUACUGAAUAUCGAACUAUCAAUUUAUAUCUACAAUAUCAAUUACAAAUAUCGAAUUAUUUAAAAAAUGUAGUGGUUAAAUUUAUAAUCAACAAUAUUAUUGAACUGUGCCAGAAAUUUAUAAAAAUAAAUUCUUUAUCAGUAUUACAUUUGCCUACGUACUUAUUUACAAAGAAACAUUGUUUAUUGGUAUUUAGAUAUAAGUAAGGUGAUUAGUACUUAUUUCUCUCUUGCACUUAGCAUUCCUAAAAGGCAUUAUUAUCAAAUUGUGCUAAUUUUUGUGGCAUUGUGUUGUACUCCAUAGAUGACACAUUAGCCACGUUUCCGAGUUAGUUGUCUGGUAGCAACUUUACUGUGAUUUCUUCAUUCGAGUAUAUUAAUUAUAAUGUAGCUUACAAAAUACGCUCUUAUGCAGGUACUAAAAUUCAGAUUUAAAAAUUAUUAAUAUUUUUUAAAAGUUUUGUUAGCAGUUAAUUAUAAUAUGUAUUAAAUGUAGGUGUUAUAAUGAUAUUAUGUGGUCACAAAUCUACGAGAAUCUGUUAUUAUCCUUGUAUUUAUUAUUAUAUUUCAAAUAUGUGCAAAUUGUGGUUAUUUAUACAUAAUUUCUAUAUACAGCUGAAGCAGAUCACUCCCCUUAGCAUUUUCUAGGAUAUGGUGUAUAGGUGCUUAUGGCACUAAUUCAAAAGUAUAAUCGAUAACAAAUUGAUUAAUCGAUUUGGACACUGAAAUCGAUGUUGAUUAGGUACCUACUGUAGAUAACUACCUGUGUAAGGGCUUCUUUUACUUAAGCAAAGGCAGCUAGCAUAAAUAAGUUUAUUAAAAAUUCACUAUCUUUACUAGUAUUUUUACUUAAAGUAAGACUUAGGCAGCUAGCAAUGAGAUUAAUAAUUCUUGAAUUUUAGAUUUGUGAGAAAUAUUAGUGCCUUAAAGAUAAAUUGUUAUUGUAGAUUAUUAUUGAGAUACUUUUACACUGUUUCUCUGCCUAUUCUGUAUACGCCAUUAUUUAAGUUCAUUGCACCUGAUAUUAUACUAUUAUGUUGUAAUGUAAGUUUAAACAUCACUCAUCACAACACUCAUUUAUUCCCUAUUGAAACCGAAUAGACCAAUUGUAAUUUAUUUGUUUGCAUCAACAUUAAUUUCGUGUAAGGUAUUAUGCCAAAUAUAUUGUAAUAUUAUGAUAUCACAUUGUUAACAAAUGUUAUGAAAUAUAGAUUUUUGAAAUAA
rnacentral:misc_RNA from 1 species